GCCAUUGAAACAUGCGCAUCAAAGAAAAUUCAUACAGGGUUAAUCUGCAUGGACUGGGGAUUAAAAAUGGGUCAUAGCCAGCCUGGGGACUAUUCCAGGGGACUUGGGGCACCAGGAGGCAGACACUCUGUACAGGGGACUGGAAUACAUAAAGGGAAACCCUCAGUGCACAGGGUGAACAUGCAAACUCCACACACACACACAGGGCAAAGCACCUCUGCCUCAGGGAGUUUAGACUGCCGUUACAUACAAAAUGCAUCUGGCUCAAACCAGAUCCCUCUAAAUUGGACAGGAAGACUGGGGAAUGUUGAUUCCUGGGACAAUUUACUGUUCCCUGGCAGCGCUUAUGCAUUUCACAUGAUAAUAUUUUUAAAGGAAUGUGAAUGUUGCUAAUUAGAAACUAACAUGCGUGACUUAUUACCAUAUCAGUAUUAUAAUGCUGGAUAUUUUGUCAGAAAUUCAUUUUUACCUGAGUUGACUGUUUGCAUCGCUGCUUACUUGCAGUGAGGAUUAUUUGCGCCAUUUAAGUAUGAUACCAUUUCUGGGUAGUGAUCUUGCAUUUUAUGUUAUAUGAUGUUACAGUUCAGUCUAAAGACUAAAACUGUUAACAACAAAUAGGAAAUAAUGUACACCUGUUAGAUCAUAUCUAUUAUACUUGCAUAAUUCUGCUACUAAGAAACUGGUGAUACGCUUUUUCACAUGAAUUUUGUCUAAGUAAUGAAAGCUUUAACCUUGUGAAAAACUUUUCAAAGACAGUGUUUGUUUGAUGUGUCUCGAAUUUUUUCUAUAAAGUUCUAUAAAGUCUUCUCAGUCGUACUCAAUACACAUUCCAUGUCAGUUGUCGCUUUUUUCAGACACUGAUGUUUAACCACAGAGCAAGACAUUCAAUCUUGUACAAAUGCAGGGCCACAAUUUACAGCUUAUCACAGCAGUCUGCUGGCCUGACAGCUAUUCAGAAGAACAGGGGCCCCAGCUUUUAAAGCUGUAAUUAAGCCACGCAAUUGCUCAGAAAAUCAAACUCACCUAAAAUAUAAAACCCUGUUUACCUUUAUCCUGUUGCUUGACUAUGCUAUGUACUUCAUGAACCUGAACUAAUCCCAUGCUCUGUGUCGAGACCUGUUCUACGAAACACUACGCAAGCUCACUACUCAAGUAUUAUAAUCCCCUGCCAAAAAAAAUAUUCGCAAGCUUCUACAUAUUGAGCAACACACUUUUUAUAUGUUCUUGUAUGGACGAUCAGAUUUCUGCUAUACAAGAAACUCUUAGCUCAGCUCUGGGAAAAUCAUAUUAUUUCAAAGUGGUCUUCUGUAUAUAGCCUGAAACAUAAAACAGACAUUAUGUGUUUAUACACAGUUAAACAUGGGAUAUGCAUACGUUUUUUUUUUCUUUUUUGCAACGAAAACAUCCUGAUUAUAGCUGUGGCAUGUACGCUUGUUAAACUUAAGCAGUAAAAAGCAGUUCUACUAAUGACGGUGCUUCACAAGAAAGAGUUGCACGUUCCAACUGUGGUGUUUUUGCAUUGAGCUGUAUGGGAACCAGCUGAACUCCUGCCCCUUUUGACAAUCAGAUGUUCUGUUGAUUAGAGCUCCUUUUGCACUCUAAUUUCAUCUGAAGACCAUGUAUCACAUGCACCAUGCUUGUAUUCACAGUGAGCAGAGCCAACACUGUAAUAUAAUACAGGACUUGUCUAUUAUGGUUAGGUUUACGGUUCUUACAAACAGGAUGGAUGAAUACAGGAGAUUAAACGGAUAUUACAUGUUGUUUUUUUUGUUCAGAAUGACCCUAAAUGAUGAGGUUUUAAUUCCCGAUUAAUAAUUCGCUAAAAGGAGAUCAGUCCAGGGAUGUGAAUUAGUAGUCUGAGAUAAUUAUUUACAGCUAUUUAUUUGGGAGAUGCUGUUAUCAAAAGCGGCAGAAUUCAAUUCAAGCCAAAUAAAAGUGCUACUAACCUGAGACUAACAACAAGCUGAUGUGCUUAUAUACAAUCUAAUAUGAUGUUAUUUGUUGCUAGUGAUUCUUUAUUUAAAAACAUCAUUAUUAAAAAGUGGUCACUUUAUGCUAACAGUGAAUGUAAGCUAGUAACCAACGGUUUUCUUAGUAUAACUUGUAUUAUGCAAACAGGUGGAUAUCCAUAUUUAACAUGCAAAUAGGAUCACACAGAUUUACGGAACACUUAAAUCUUGUAGAAAAGCUUGUCCUGUUAGUUAUUGUCUAUUUCCUGAGGUAAAUGUUUAAAGGACCUGAUCAGUGAAAAAGCAAACAAACAAAUAAAGAACCUAAAACUAAUGUUUCUAACAUUGAAUGCAGCUUUAAGCUUAGGAUCUAUCAACAGCUAUCUAUCUAUAGGAGUUAUCAUAAUGUUGUUUGUGUAAUUCUAGCCAGCUUACAGGAUUUCAUUUGGCAGACACAACAGCAAAUGAAAUAGUUUCCAUUAGUGACCCAAAUCCUAGAACUGAAAGUGUUAGAAACAAAAUGUUCUAGUACUUAUUCCAAAGGUUAAAGGAAGGUGCAACAAUUCGUACCUCGUGUACAUCCUGGUUUAAUUUUUGACUUUACUGAGAGUAAGUUUCAGAGAAUCCAUAGUCGACUCCAUCAGAUUCUUUCAUUUAGAUUUAAACAUGGAGAAAACCCUCAAGUUAGGAAUUUCCUGCAGACGUGGAAAAACAAGCAGCAGAAAGCAUGGCCUGUACUUCAUGCUGGAUAUCUGUAGCUAAUUUGAUUUUGCCCGAGUCUAACUGAUGUAAGGAUAAGCACUUGGUCUAAUUAAAAACAUACAUGCUUUAUAUUACACAUAUGGGUUUUUUUUAGGUUUUGCAUGGAUUUGGACCCACACAUAAGGCCCUUUUGUAGAAUUUCCUACACUGUAAUCAGAACUCACGUUUCUGAGAAAAAAUGGAUGAUACAGUUGGUUAUAAUUCUCAGAAAAACCAGAGUUACAUCAUCUUACACAAAACCCGAGUGUUACUACUUUAAUGUUUGUAGAAAAUACUUUCAAAUAUAAUUAGAAUAUCUUUCAACCAGGAUUGCUGCACACUUUGUAAAUUUGUAAGUUCAAGUUUUUUUGCUCGAACACAUCCAUAGUACAUCCAUGAAAUUAUAACCAUUAAAGACAAAUCAUUUAAAUCCUUUGCCAUAAUUUAAAGUCAACUGGAAACAGGAGGUUUAAUUUGAGUUGCUAUAAAGAGAGUGAUUAAAGGAUUGUACUAUGCUGUCGGUGCGGACGUAUUUAGCUGUAGCUAAUGCGAGCCAAGGCCUACAGUGUUCAGUCAUGCCUCGCAGCUGGACAGGUCAGAUUCUCAGAGUCGAUCCAGCAGAGGAUCACAACCUUCUGCACUCUCGCAGACAUUAGCAUCCUCUCAGGGAUGCCAAUUGAUGUCAAGGUCUGUGACCUGUUUAGCCACCUGCAGUUCUUGUGAUUAGAUUUGUAUUGUUAUUUUGUACUCGUAGAUCCAAAACUUUAUUUCCAAAAUGCUUGAAGGCUUUUAAUGUGAAUGGAGACCACUU